GUUUCAGCAGUAUAAUUUAGUAAUUCAAUGGUCAUUUAAAAAUAAAUUUUAAACAACUGUAAGGGUCCCAUAUUGUUAAAUGUACUAGUGAUGUAGGUCAAGAGUUACUAAGUCUGUUUGAUUAGAGGUACCUGACAGUAAAUUUCUUUCCUCAAAAGAAAAUUUCUUUUUUCACUAUGAGGUAUGUACGACCCCAUAGUGGUGCAGAUCAGGGGUGAUGAGCAGAUUUAAUGGAGAAGAACUCUCCUCUUCCUUCUGCCUCUCAGCUCCUUUCUCAGAAUCCAUAGAUUUACUUAUUCGGAGGAAUGGCUCUUCACACACAGCAGGGGAUUUGGCCAUGGAGAUAAUUGUCUUAGAGCUUUAGAACCCCAAGCAUGUGCAUGGUUCUUUCCUGCCUCUCUUACAGCAGAGUCCUGGAGCAGGUGCCUGCCACCCAACUUGGUGGCCAGCCUCGGUCAGUCCUGUGACCAGUUUCUUUCCUCUAGCAAAGCUGAACCUCAGAUCUUAUAAAAGGAAGAUGCAAAGGAUGACAUGAUGGUAUUAGGAGAGCAGCACACUGCUCAAGAGCGACAGAUAGUAGUCGAACAGUGAAAUAGCAAAGCCCACCAAUGAAAUGUCAUUUAGUAUUUCAUGGGAAUAUAGCAAUUCCACAAAUGAUUUGUCACCCGGCAAGCAUGUCUACAAUUUCACUAGUAUAUAUCAGAAUUUACCUGACCUCCAGUGGACACUAAAUAAACUGCCAUAUCCAUUUUAUACCCUAGAGGUUGAAUUCAUAAUUAGAAUUUUUAGUAUCAGACAUUCAAGAGUUUCACAAUGGUCUGUGACACAGAAAACAUUAUCCUUUAAUUAUCUUGGUCUGUGUUGCUAUAACAAAACACCGGGCGAUGGACGCCUUAUUAGAACCUUCCCUGAAGGUUUGGAGGCUGAGGAGCCCAAGCUCACAUUCAUGGCUCAAGCACUUAGGCAGCAAGUGCCUCCAGCACAGGUGUGCACCUGUUACUAAGCAGCUGCUGUCACAGAUACCUAACGCUCAUCUAGGGCUUCUGUGAGUCAAGAAUCCAGGCACAGACUUAUCUCGGCCACCCACCCACUCAAGGGCUCCCUCAUAAACAACCUGAGUAGAAGGUCCAGCCUGCGAUAAGCUUGCUCUGGCAGCCCACCUGGGGCGUGAUACUCCUCCAAGCUUGUUUAUGUGGUUAUUGGCAUGGAUCAGUUCCCAUUGGGUGGUUGAUCUGAAGGUCACAGACAACCCUCAGUUUCUUGCUGCUUGACUUUCCCCAGAGUGGCCAUGUGCUUUAGGAAGCCAGUGUUGUAACCGGAAGUAGCCACAACCUUAGUUUGCUCACCACAAAACUGAUAGCCCAUCAUUGUACCACAUCCUGUGGGUCACAGGCUAGUCCUGAGUUCUUUCGCCAAGGGGCUGAUGGGAGAUGAGCAUCAUCAGGGGCAGUCUUUGAGUCUGCCCACCAUACCGAAAUGUUGAGGUAAGUAGCCCUACUCUGCUGUUUGGGAACACUUUGCUAGAGGAAAGAAAACUGCCCUUGAGUAGGCGCUCACUGGAAUCCGUGACGCAUCAAAAAUCUGUAAGGCUGAACCUCAGUAUGUACCUGAGAACUCCAGGUCAGCACACACCAACUUCCUAACUAACAUCCGUGGUAGCCAACUUGUGCAGUCAGCCCAGGUGUCCAUCAUGGAGGGGUCAAUGGAACAGAUUAGUCUAGCACAUACUGCAGUGUUAUCAGGUCAUAAGGACACAAUCAGAGCUUUGCAUGAAUGUGGUCUGGAGUAUAGACCCUGUUGAGUAAAGUAAGCAAAUUUCAUACAGACAAAUCCCACAUUUCCUCUUAUGUGAAAAUCUAGGCUUAAAGGAGAAAACAGACCAGUGGAAGAGGAAGUAUUGGGGCUGAAGAGUGGGAAGUAGGAAGUGAGAGAGUAAUGGAGGUCAGGGGCAGGGAGUAUAAUCAAAGUAAAGAAAAUACAUGUAAGAAAAUAUAACGACAGUUACUUUGUACAGUUACUGUAUAUCAGUAAAAGCUGAAGAAAGUCAACACAGCUGAAUGUCCUAGUUAAUUGGGUACCCAAGGUUCCUAAGGAGUUGAUUCAAAAGCCUUUGAUACCCCAGCAUUCUAGGUUGUGAUGACUCACUGUUAAUGGAUGUCAAGUACUGCGUGGAUGAGGGCUUGUCUGUCACAGGAAAGUGUAUCUGACCAUCUUCCAGCCAGAGGAAUGCAGAGUCGUACACUUGCUGGGGCCUGGGAAACCGAGUUAGAUUCUCCAGACUUGGGUCAACCAUUAUGGUGAGGCUAGGGCACCAUCAUGUUUAAAAGGGCAUUCUCUUCCAUAUGACUCACAGAGGAGAACUAGCUGGUAACCAUGCAGGAAGUGGACUGGCUAUAACAUGUACCUGAUUUUAAACAGGCCAAAGACUGUUGUGUUUAUGAUGUACGAUGAGGAGUGGAUGACAUCUGACAGUGACCCGCCUUAGCUGAUUUUUAUCUGAAGUCCAAUGAGAUGGCAUUCCCACAGCACUCGGUACACAGCACCUUUCACAUGGCAAGAACCGAGCAAAGCCGUAGCUAAUUUUUGUGAUUGGCAGUUAAUGGCCGUCAUCCUGCAAGUUCCUAAAAUGAGCUAUUAUGAUUUGCUUUUUUUGCCCCUGAUAUUUGAAACUGGAUUUAUGGAAUGGAUGUACAAGGCUAUUGUCAGCUUUUGUAAGGGACUGGGUUAUCAGCAAAGUGACUGUAUCAAACAGAUGAUGCAUAAUGACCUGCACUUCUAUCUGAAAUGCUUAAUGAGUAUGACACUUGACAAGGGCCCUUUGGCGGAAAGUGGGCUCCCCACUCUCCCGCUCUCAAGUGAUGGUAGAAUAAAGGCCCAGAUUAUGCUUAGUGGUCGGGCAAGUUCAGAGGGCUUUUAAUGCAGCUCUGUUCAGCUUGCCUGUGCCUGUGAUAACUGAUAAUUUGGUGACUGGCUGAGCAAUUGCUCUGCAGUGAGCUGAAGGAAGGGCUCUAUUCAUGAGGCUGGCAGUACUUCAAAGGGCAGUGAAGGAGUAUUUGAAGCAACAUGACACC
rnacentral:sRNA from 1 species